UCAGAGUCCAAAGAGUUGAAAGAAAAAGCAAACAGACGAGUUCAUAAAGGCAAGAAAAUGUGCAGUGGGUGAGUUGGACUUUGGUGGACAUCAGUGAAAGUAAGAAAUUGUACUUUGCAUCAGUGAAGGGUAAGAAAUGAAUAACUUGAAAAUGGAUCUGUCUUCUCAUGGCUCACCAGUAACCAUUAUAGAAACCAUUGCCUCACAGCUAGCAUGCAGUCCCUUGGAUAAGAAAGUUGCACUGCACUUAGAUGGAGAAGAUGAGCUAAAAUACCUCCGUGAAUGUUUCCAUAUUCCCAAAGUAAAGGAUCUGCCACCAACCAAUCCAGCUUUAGUGGAUGAGAAUGACAACUGCAUCUACUUUGCGGGUAAUUCUCUUGGUCUUCAGCCAAAGAAAAUCAAAACUUACUUGGAUGAAGAACUUGACAAGUGGGCUAAAACAGGUGUCCAUGGUCAUUUCAAUGGAAAACGUCCUUGGGCUUUAGGAGAUGAGUGCAUCGUGGAACUAAUGGCUGAUAUUGUGGGGGCUCAUAAAGAUGAGAUAGCACUGAUGAAUGGCUUGACAGUUAAUCUACAUCUCCUAAUGUUAUCAUUCUUUAAACCUACCUCAGAUCGCUAUAAAAUCCUCCUGGAAGCCAAAGCUUUUCCCUCUGACCACUAUGCUGUUGAAUCUCAACUCCAGUAUCAUGGGCUUGAUAAGGAGACAAGUAUGCUUAUGAUAGAACCACGAAAGGGGGAGGAGACCUUGAGAACUGAAGAUAUCCUUGCUGUAAUUGAGAAGGAAGGGGACUCAAUUGCAGUAAUUCUAUUCAGUGGUGUCCAGUACUACACCGGACAGCUGUUUGAUAUCCCAAGAAUAACAAAGGCUGGCCAAGCAAAGGGCUGCUUUGUUGGAUUUGACCUGGCUCAUGCUGUUGGCAAUGUGGAACUACAUUUACAUGAGUGGGAAGUAGACUUUGCCUGUUGGUGCUCCUAUAAGUACCUGAAUUCUGGAGCAGGAGGUCUGGCUGGUGCUUACAUUCACAAGAAACAUUUCCAGACUGUGAAACCAGCGUCUUCAGUCAAACCACAAUGAAACUUCUGAGAAGGAAAUCUAUUCUUCUUACUGGGUAUUUGGAAUACUUGAUAAGGCGGUGCUACAGUGAAGACAGAAAUGACCCGAAAAAACCUUUUGUAAAAAUAAUCACACCAUCUCACAUUGAAGAAAGAGGAUGCCAGCUCACACUGACUUUCUCCAUUCCAAUUGGCCCUUUGUUUAAGCAACUGGAAAAAAGAGGAGUUGCUUGUGACAUGCGGGAACCCAACGCUCUCCGUGUUGCUCCAGUUCCUCUCUACAAUUCUUUCUGUGACGUGCACACAUUUAUUGAAAUCCUGGGAUCUGCAAUGCAAUUACAUCUGUAAAGCAAAGAGCAAACACUACAGCUCUUUCCUGAUCUUAUUGAUGGUGCAGCUGUAUCUUUUAAUCUAUUUCUGACUAAGAUGCAUCAAUGCUUUUGAGCAUUUUGUUUGUUUCUACUAGGCUAGGCUACAUUCCACCAAUUUACCCUCAAAGAUUGAUUUUGCUUGGAUAGUUAUUUUCAAUAUACUUUUUAUUAAAACUCAUAUUUCCAUUCAUUGUUACUCCAGAAAUUAAUAGGCCUUGCCUAUUUUAAUAGGGAUGAUUUUUAGCAUUUUACAUACUUUCUUCAUCUACACAAUUCUGUUUUACUUCAUAUUACAAGUGAAACAGAAAGACAGCUGCAAAUAUCAGAAUAUCUUUCUGUUCUUGUUGUGUGGAAUAACAUGACGUACGGAAUACUGUGACUGUCAUCUGUUUACAUUUCAAUCAGCAUUUAUAUUAAAGGGAAUUUUCAUGUAUCUUCAGGUAAA